ACGGGACCUUUCGGGGUCUAGUGGCGGACGGGUGAGUAACGCGUGAGAACAUGCCCUUAGGUUCGGGACAACGGUUGGAAACGGCUGCUAAUACCGAAUGUGCCGAGAGGUGAAAGAUUAAUUGCCUAAGGAUUGGCUCGCGUCAGAUUAGCUAGUUGGUGGAGUAACGGUUUACCAAGGCGACGAUCUGUAUUUGGUCUGAGAGGAUGACCAGACACACUGGGACUGAGACACGGCCCAGACUCCUACGGGAGGCAGCAGUGGGGAAUUUUCCGCAAUGGGCGAAAGCCUGACGGAGCAAUACCGCGUGAGGGAGGACGGCUUUUGGGUUGUAAACCUCUUUUAUCAGGGAAGAAACAAAUGACGGUACCUGAUGAAUCAGCAUCGGCUAACUCCGUGCCAGCAGCCGCGGUAAUACGGAGGAUGCAAGCGUUAUCCGGAAUUAUUGGGCGUAAAGCGUCCGUAGGUGGUUUUUCAAGUCUGCUGUCAAAGCGUGGAGCUUAACUCCAUACCGGCAGUGGAAACUGGGAGACUAGAGUGCGAUAGGGGUAACG
rnacentral:rRNA from 1 species